rnacentral:rRNA from 1 species
CAUGCAAGUCGAACGCAGUAGCAAUACUGAGUGGCAAACGGGUGAGUAUAAUGUGGGAAUCUGCCUUUUGGUUUGGAAUAACACGGGGAAACUUGUGCUAAUACCGGAUAAGCCUUCACAGGGAAAGUUUUAUACGCCGAAAGAUGAGCCCGCACUUGAUUAGCUAGUUGGUGAGGUAAAAGCUCACCAAGGCAACGAUCAAUAGCUGUUCUUAGAGGAAGACCAGCCACAUUGGGACUGAGACACGGCCCAGACUCCUACGGGAGGCAGCAGUAAGGAAUCUUGCACAAUGGGGGAAACCCUGAUGCAGCGAUGCCGCGUGAGUGAAGAAGGCCCUUGGGUUGUAAAACUCUUUCGUCGGGGAAGAAAAUGACUGUACCCGAAUAAGAAGGUCCGGCUAACUUCGUGCCAGCAGCCGCGGUAAUACGAAGGGACCUAGCGUAGUUCGGAAUUACUGGGCUUAAAGAGCUCGUAGGUGGUUAAAAAAGUUGAUUGUGAAAUCCCAAGGCUCAACCUUGGAACUGCAAUCAAAACUUUUUAGCUAGAGUGUGAUAGAGGAAAGUGGAAUUUCUAGUGUAGAGGUGAAAUUCGUAGAUAUUA